UACGUAGGGUGCGAGCGUUGUCCGGAAUUAUUGGGCGUAAAGGGCUCGUAGGCGGUUUGUCGCGUCGGGAGUGAAAACCAUGAGCUUAACUCAUGGCUUGCUUUCGAUACGGGCAGACUAGAGGCAUGCAGGGGAGAACGGAAUUCCUGGUGUAGCGGUGAAAUGCGCAGAUAUCAGGAGGAACACCAGUGGCGAAGGCGGUGCUCUGGGCCGGUACUGACGCUGAGGAGCGAAAGCGUGGGGAGCAAACAGG
rnacentral:rRNA from 1 species